UACGGAGGGUGCGAGCGUUGUUCGGAAUCACUGGGCGUAAAGCGCGUGUAGGCGGUCUGGCAAGUCUGGUGUGAAAGCCCGGGGCUCACCCCCGGAAGUGCACUGGAAACUGCCAGACUCGAGUCCCGGAGAGGAGAGUAGAAUUCCUGGUGUAGCGGUGAAAUGCGUAGAUAUCAGGAGGAAUACCGGUGGCGAAGGCGGCUCUCUGGACGGUGACUGACGCUGAGACGCGAAAGCGUGGGGAGCAAACAGG
rnacentral:rRNA from 1 species